rnacentral:rRNA from 1 species
UGAAGAAAGCAAGGCG